rnacentral:rRNA from 1 species
CAUUAUUGAAAUAAACCUGAUGGGUUGUUGCUGGUUCUCUAGGGAGCAUGUGCACGCCUUGUCAUCUUUAUAUCUCCACCUGUGCACCUUUUGUAGACCUUUCUAGGUCUAUGUUGCCUUUUCAUUUACCCCAAUGUAUGUUAAUAGAAUGUUGUGACUAUAAAAUCUAUACAACUUUCAGCAACGGAUCUCUUGGCUCUCGCAUCGAUGAAGAACGCAGCGAAAUGCGAUAAGUAAUGUGAAUUGCAGAAUUCAGUGAAUCAUCGAAUCUUUGAACGCACCUUGCGCUCCUUGGUAUUCCGAGGAGCAUGCCUGUUUGAGUGUCAUUAAUAUAUAAUCAACCUUCUCAUUUACGAGUGGUUUGGAUGUGGGGGUUUGCUGGCCUCUUAAACGAGUUCAGCUCUCCUAAAAUGCAUUAGCAGGACAACCCUGUUCAUUGGCGUGAUAACUAUCUAUGCUAUUGAAUGUGAGGGACAGUCCAGCUUUCUAAUAGUCCUUGGACAAAUCAUCAUUUAUGUGACCUCAAAUCAGGUAGGACUACCC